rnacentral:rRNA from 1 species
AUUGAACGCUGGCGGCAGGCCUAACACAUGCAAGUCGAGCGGUAGAGAGAAGCUUGCUUCUCUUGAGAGCGGCGGACGGGUGAGUAAUGCCUAGGAAUCUGCCUGGUAGUGGGGGAUAACGUUCGGAAACGGACGCUAAUACCGCAUACGUCCUACGGGAGAAAGCAGGGGACCUUCGGGCCUUGCGCUAUCAGAUGAGCCUAGGUCGGAUUAGCUAGUUGGUGAGGUAAUGGCUCACCAAGGCGACGAUCCGUAACUGGUCUGAGAGGAUGAUCAGUCACACUGGAACUGAGACACGGUCCAGACUCCUACGGGAGGCAGCAGUGGGGAAUAUUGGACAAUGGGCGAAAGCCUGAUCCAGCCAUGCCGCGUGUGUGAAGAAGGUCUUCGGAUUGUAAAGCACUUUAAGUUGGGAGGAAGGGUUGUAGAUUAAUACUCUGCAAUUUUGACGUUACCGACAGAAUAAGCACCGGCUAACUCUGUG